rnacentral:rRNA from 1 species
AUGCCGCCGGCGAGGAGCCCGGCCGCCGGCCUGCGGCGGCGCAAAGUCUUCCUCCCUCUCGUGUUGCUCCUCCCCCUUAUUCUACUGACCCUAAUCCUGAUCUUCCCAUCUCGCUCCAUCCCCGCGCUCCGCGACGCAGCUCUCAGGUCCCAACAGACCUGCGACUACGCUGCCGGCGGAUGGGUGUCCGACUCCUCCGCCGAGUCCCACCUCCGGUACGACCACACGUGCAAGGAGAUCUUCAAGGGGUGGAACUGCAUCGCCAACGGCAAGCGCAACGGCCGCGCCCUCCUCCGCUGGCGAUGGAAGCCCGAAGGGUGCGAGCUACUCCCCAGGCUCGACCCGCUCCGGUUCUUAGAGCGUCAUAGGAACACCAACAUUGGAUUUGUGGGUGAUUCUUUGAAUCGAAACAUGUUUGUCUCAUUGGUCUGCAUGCUCAGGGGAGUGAACGGAGAGGUUCGCAAGUGGCGUCCAGCAGGGGCAGACCGAGGUUUCACAUUCCUACGCUACAACCUCACCCUCGCAUACCACCGAACUAAUCUUUUGGUACGCUAUGGCAGCUGGUCAGCCAGUCCAAACGGAGGUCCCCUAGAAUCUCUUGGAUACAAGCAAGGCCACAGGAUUGAUGUUGAUAUUGCGGACCAAACAUGGGCAGAGGCACCAAGCUUCCAUGAUAUUCUUAUUUUCAAUACGGGGCAUUGGUGGUGGUCCUCUUCAAAGUUUGAUCCAAUACAGUCACCGAUGCUCUUCUUUGAGAAAGGGAAGCCGAUUAUACCUCCUUUACUGCCACCUGAAGGACUGGAUUUGACUCUUAAACACAUGAUAACAUUUGCGAACAAAGCAAUGAGACCCAAUGGAUUGAAAUUCUUCAGCACUCAAUCUCCUAGACAUUUUGAAGGUGGUGAUUGGAAUGAAGGUGGAUCUUGUCAACGUGACCAACCCUUGUCCUCUGAAGAGGUCAAAGAAUUUUUCUCCUUGGACAACAACGGCACAAACACAGAAGUACGUUUGGUAAACCAGCACUUGAUGAAGGCUCUGGAGCAGUCUUCCUUCAGAGUUUUGAACGUCACUCACAUGAGCGAAUUCAGAGCUGACGCUCAUCCGGCGACAACCGGAGGAAAGAAGCACGACGAUUGCAUGCAUUGGUGUUUACCAGGACCAACCGAUGCAUGGAACGAUUUGCUAGCAGCAAGUCUUGCGGCAAUUCAGAGCUAG